UGGCGGCAUGCUUAACACAUGCAAGUCGAACGAAGGCCCGGAGCUUGCUCCGGAUCCCUUAGUGGCGAACGGGUGAGUAACGCGUGGGAAUCUACCUAAAAAUGGGGAAUAACUGUUGGAAACGACAGCUAAUACCGCAUAAUCCCUUCGGGGCAAAGGCUUCGGCCGUUUUUAGAUGAGCCCGCGUUAGAUUAGGCUGUUGGUGAGGUAAUGGCUCACCAAACCUACAAUCUAUAGCUGGUCUGAGAGGAUGAUCAGCCACACUGGGACUGAGACACGGCCCAGACUCCUACGGGAGGCAGCAGUGGGGAAUAUUGGACAAUGGGGGAAACCCUGAUCCAGCAAUGCCGCGUGAGUGAUGAAGGCCCUAGGGUUGUAAAGCUCUUUCAGAAGUGAAGAUGAUGACGGUAACUUCAGAAGAAGCUCCGGCUAACUCCGUGCCAGCAGCCGCGGUAAUACGGAGGGAGCUAGCGUUGUUCGGAAUUACUGGGCGUAAAGGGCGUGUAGGCUGUAUGGUUAGUCAGAGGUGAAAUCCCUAAGCUCAACUUAGGAACUGCCUUUGAUACUAUCAUACUAGAGAUCGAGAGAAGUUAGCGGAAUUCCAAGUGUAGAGGUGAAAUUCGUAGAUAUUUGGAAGAACACCUGUGGCGAAAGCGGCUAACUGGCUCGUUUCUGACGCUGAGACGCGAAAGCGUGGGUAGCAAACAGGAUUAGAUACCCUGGUAGUCCACGCUGUAAACGAUGAGUGCUAGCCGUUUGUGAUUAAUCACAAGUGGUGCAGUUAACACAUUAAGCACUCCGCCUGGGGAGUACG
rnacentral:rRNA from 1 species